rnacentral:rRNA from 1 species
UACGAAGGGGGCUAGCGUUGCUCGGAAUUACUGGGCGUAAAGGGCGCGUAGGCGGCGUGCCAAGUCGGGCGUGAAAUUCCUGGGCUCAACCUGGGGGCUGCGCUCGAGACUGGUGUGCUAGAGGGCAGGAGAGGCUCGUGGAAUUCCCAGUGUAGAGGUGAAAUUCGUAGAUAUUGGGAAGAACACCGGUGGCGAAGGCGGCGAGCUGGCCUGUUACUGACGCUGAGGCGCGACAGCGUGGGGAGCAAACAGG